rnacentral:rRNA from 1 species
AUGGGGAUGGACGUGUGCAUGUUAGGUCAUAGUGCUCAAGUGGAGUCAUGCAUGUUGAGACUCGGAUCGUGGGAUGGCACGAUCAAAUCGAGCUGCGCUAGGUGGGUUUGUUAUGCAUGUAACGAGCUAGCUCGCGAGGCGUUUGGCAGCGGUGAGAUGGGGGACACGUCGCCCACGAAGAACAACGAUGCUGACAAGGGCGACGGCAGCGGCGGCAGAAAGUACACGUCGCCGAGCAAGAGGCUCGGAGCCGGUGUCUCUGAUGAGGGCGCCGUCAUGGUGAGGACCAUGUCGAGGGCAUCCGUCCCUGUUCAGUACCCGCAGCUGACAGAGACGAACUAUCAUCUUUGGACAGCGAAGAUGAAGAUCAUCAUGCGCCCCCUCGGUGUGUGGCCGGCGGUUGAUGGAGACGCCGAGUUCGACGAAGAGAAAGACCAAGGCGCCAUGAUGGCGAUCUCGCAAGCUGUGCCGGAUGAUGUGAUGAUGGCCAUCGUCGAGUACGACACGGCGAGGGAGGCUUGGUCUGCGAUCCGCACAAUGCGGGUUGGCGAGGCGCGUGUUACGGAGCCACGCAUAAACCAGCCGAUGCGGCGGUUCGAUUGCAUGCUCAUGGAGGACAGCGAGACGAUCGCCACGUUCUCUCGCCGGCUGACAUCACUUGUCGGCGAGAUCCGGGCGCUUGGUGAAGACUUGAAGGAGAAGGCGAUUGUCAAGCGGCUGUUCGCCGUUGUUCCAGAUUGCUUCUCCCAGAUAAUUGGGACCAUCGAGCAGUGGGGCGACAUGAAGACCAUGUCCAUGGCUGAAGCCGUGGGCCGCCUGCGCGCACUGAUCCUGAAAGAGAAGAAGAAGGGAGAGGGCUCUAGCAGCAGCAAGCAGGACGGCGACGGGAAUGGCGCUGGCCGUGGCCAAGAUGACGGCAAGAAGAAGGAGCGUUGCCAGUUCGACAAGUCGAAGAUUACCUGUUUCGAGUGCGGGGAGAAAGGCCACUUCAAGUCCGAGUGCGAGGUGCUGAAGAAAGAGAAGGCACUCCUACCUGCUGCCGAUUUUGACGAUGAGCCGGGGCUGCUGAUGGAUGUGGCAUGUGAGCUCCCGCCAAUGGUGGAGCGCGCCGCAGAAGAUAUGGAGGUGAAGGAGGUGCUUCGCCCCUUGGCCGUCGAGGCUGACUUGGAAGCUGCAAAGGCGGAGGUUGAGCAGCUGCGCAGCGAGCUAGCUGCGGCCAAUGGAAAGCUGUGCCCCGUGUUUGACGAGUACAGGACAGAGGCGGAGGAGAGAUCAGCUGCAAGUGGUGACGUGCUCCUGCUUGAGAAUAUGCGUGUGUUAGAGGAAGCUGCCAAGCUAGCACAUGAGGACAAUGCAAAGCUGCUGGAGGUGCAGUGUGUGCUCCUGAAGAGAACAGCAGAUUGCGUGAUCUCAUGA